rnacentral:tRNA from 1 species
CGAAGAGUGGAGCAGUUGGCAGUUCGUUGGGCUCGUAACCCAAAGGUUGCAGGUUCGAGUCCUGCCUUUGCAACCA